rnacentral:rRNA from 1 species
GCAAGAUUCUCACCCGGUUGCAGGCUGCCCCGGGACGCUUCUUCAAUGUCCCUGGUGUCAGUGCGGGAUGGGAUAGUCAAGGUUGACCCGGAUCUUCCGGGUCCACGCCCAGAGUUGGAGCUCUGGGUCCUUUGAAUGCCUCGCGGCUUCAAAGAGAAGUCAAGUUUGAUUAAACCAUUGUUGUUGUCUUUCAAAAUCGGAGUUUUGUUCAAGUAGUCAACCUUAGAGUAGUGUUAGAAAAGAAGGAUGUAUUGCAAGAAACCUGGCCCAAGAAGACGAUGAAUAAUGUUUUUGGCGAAAACAUUAUUCAGUGAACUCGUUGAACCGAAUAGUCUUUCGCCCUGAAUGUUUGAAGAGGAUUCGGCCGCUCUGGAGCAGAUGAAGCAAGCGAGAGGUAUCAGGAAAAAUAUGGGGGAAUUCUUCUGGCUCCCGCCCUGUUCCCGCCCGACACUUAGAUCUUCUCUAGUCCUUUGCUUGCCAAUUUACAAUAGGUAUUCUUUUAUUUAGGGAUAGUCAAGGUUGACCCGGAUCUUCCGGGUCCACGCCCAGAGUUGGAGCUCUGGUCCUUUGAAUGCCUCGCGGCUUCAAAGAGAAGUCAAGUUUGAUUAAACUAUUGUUGUUGCUCUUUCAAAAUCGGAGUUUUGUUCAAGUAGUCAACCUUAGAGUAGUGUUAGAAAAGAAGGAUGUAUUGCAAGAAACCUGGCCCAAGAAGACGAUGAAUAAUGUUUUUGGCGAAAGACUAAUCGAACCAUCUAGUAGCUGGUUCCCUCCGAAGUUUCUCUCAGGAUAGCGGGCCGACACGAGUUGUUCUGUGUGGUAAAGCGAAUGAUUAGCGUAUUUGGGGACAGUAUGUCUUCUGGCGAUUCUCAAACUUUAAAUGCGCAGGGGUGUCGCUGCUUGGUUGAGCGGCACCGGCAAAAACGUCGGCCCUGUGGGCCACUUUUGGUAAGCAGAACUGGCGAUACGGGAUGAACCGUAAGCACGGUUAAGGCGCCCAAGUGCCCGCUUAUAGACCCCACAAAAGGCGUUGAUUCAUCGAGACAGCAGGACGGUGGCCAUGGAAGUCGGAAUCCGCUAAGGAGUGUGUAACAACUCACCUGCCGAAUGAAUUAGCCCUGAAAAUGGAUGGCGCUGAAGCGGGCUGCCGACACCGUGCCGUCUGGGCGAGAAAGGCCCCAGAUGAGUAGGAGGGCGUGGCGGCCGUAUCGAAGCACGCGUGCAAACGCGUGUGGAACGGCCGCUAGUGCAGAUCUUGGUGGUAGUAGCAAGUAUUCAAGCGAGAUCCUUGAAGGGCGAAGCGGGGAAGGGUUCCACGCGAACAUUGAUUGGGCGUGGUGAGUCGUUCCUAAGCCGAGUGGCGAUUGCUAAGUAGCGGCGAAAGGGAAGCGGGUUGAAAUUCCCGCACACGGAUGUGGACGCGGUGACGCGAGUGAUGGGGCGAAGACGCUGGCGACGGCGCUGGGCAGAGUUGUCUUUUCUGUUUGACCAGUUUGCGCGCGCGGUGUGGAAUCCGCUUGUCGGGAGAAACACGCGUGUGCGGGCAGAGCGCCGGGGCUUUUCCGGCGUCCAGCUCGCCGUCGACGGCCCUUGAAAAUUUGCCUGCUGAAAAUCUUUGAUUUGAAAUCCACGCCGUGGCGUACCGAUCACCGCAUCAGGUCCCCAAGGUGAACAGCCUCUGCUCAGUAUGAAUAAUGCAGGUAAGGGAAGUCGGCAAAUUAGACCCGUAACUUUGGGAAAAGGGUUGGCUCUAGUGCUGCGUGGGAGUGGUUGCCGGGUUCUGGCGCGCGCGGCUGUGCGGCUCUCGGCGCGGGACCUCGCAAGGGGACCUGUGCCGUGCCGCUGAGUCUGCGCGCCGCCACGCCUGGCGACGCCCACGGCAUGCAGCAGACUAGAACUGCAACGGGCAAAGGGAAUCCGACUGUUUAAUUAAAACAAAGCAUUGCGAGGGCCGUGGCCGGUGAUGACGCAAUGUGAUUUCUGCUCAGUGCUCUGAAUGUCAAAGUGAAGAGAUUCAAUCAAGCGCGGGUAAACAGCGGGAGUAACUAUGACUCUCUUAAGGUAGCCAAAUGCCUCGUCAUCUAAUUAGUGACGCGCAUGAAUGGAUUAACGAGAUUCCUACUGUCCCUAUCUGCUUCUAGCGAAACCACAGCCGAGGGAACGGGCUCGGCAGAAUCGGCGGGGAAAGAAGACCCUGUUGAGCUUGACUCUAUUCUAAUUUUGUGAAGCAAGUUGGGAGGUGUAGCAUAGGUGGGAGCGCUCACGCGCGGCCGUGAAAUACCACUACUCCCAGUCUUGCUUUACUUACUGGGUUGGUGUGGAUGGGCGCUUGUACCGCCCGAUUCUGGAACCAACGCCGGGCGCUUUGCGCCUGCGGACCACAGCCCAGGACAGAUUAGGAGGGGAGUUUGGCUGGGGCGGCACAUCUUCUACAAGACAACGAAGGUGUCCAAAGAUGAGCUCAGUGAGAACAGAAAUCUCACGUAGCGCAAAAGGGUAAAAGCUCGUUUGAUUUCGAUUUUCAGUGCGAGUCGAAACGCGAAAGCGUGGCCUAUCGAUCCUUUCACGAUUCGAGAUUUGAAGCGAGAGGUGUCAGAAAAGUUACCACAGGAUAACUGGCUUGUGGCGGCCAAGCGUUCAUAGCGACGUCGCUUUUUGAUCCUUCGAUGUCGGCUCUUCCUAUCAUUGUGUAGCAGAAUACACCAAGUGUCGGAUUGUUCACCCGCCAACAGGGAACGUGAGCUGGGUUUAGACCGUCGUGAGACAGGUUAGUUUUAUCCUACGAUGAUUCGUUGUCGCGCCAGUAAUUCAAGGCAGUACGAGAGGAACGCUUGAUUCAGAUCACUGGCUCAUGCAGCUGCACGACCCUGCAUUGCUGCGACCCUACCAUCUGAAUGAUCAGAAAGGCUGAGAGAGUCUAAGCCUGGAUCGGUCCUGUUCAGCGACAACUCCGUGUUUUUGCAUCCGUCGGGCGCACGUCCGCAUAGCCGCAAGGCCAGCACCAUUCCAAUUGAUAAACUCCGCAGUGCAAAAGUCGAAUCACUUGCAGAUGACCGGGUUGGAACCAGAGUGUGUAAGUAUUUGAGUAGCCUUUGUUGCUACGAUUUGCUGAGCAUAUCUGU